rnacentral:rRNA from 1 species
UACGUAGGGUGCGAGCGUUGUCCGGAAUUACUGGGCGUAAAGAGCUCGUAGGUGGUUUGUCGCGUUGUUCGUGAAAACUCACAGCUCAACUGUGGGCGUGCGGGCGAUACGGGCAGACUGGAGUACUGCAGGGGAGACUGGAAUUCCUGGUGUAGCGGUGAAAUGCGCAGAUAUCGGGAGGAACACCUGUGGCGAAGGCGGCCAUCUGGACGAUAACUGACGCUGAGACGCGAAAGCGUGGGUAGCAAACAGG